UGAGACCUGAUGCCGAGCCGAUUGUGGUGAAGUGGAUGAUCCUAUGCUGUCGAGAAAAGCCUCUAGCGAGUUUCAUGGCGGCCCGUACCCUAAACCGACUCAGGUGGUCAGGUAGAGAAUACCGAGGCGUUCGGGUGAACUAUGGUUAAGGAACUCGGCAAAAUGCCCCCGUAACUUCGGGAGAAGGGGGGCCACGGCUGGUGAUCACCCUUGCGGUGUGAGCUGGUGGUGGCCGCAGAGACCAGCGAGAAGCGACUGUUUACUAAAAACACAGGUCCGUGCGAAGCCGUAAGGCGAUGUAUACGGACUGACGCCUGCCCGGUGCUGGAACGUUAAGGGGACCGGUUAGCUCCAUUUCGGUGGGGCGAAGCUGAGAACUUAAGCGCCAGUAAACGGCGGUGGUAACUAUAACCAUCCUAAGGUAGCGAAAUUCCUUGUCGGGUAAGUUCCGACCUGCACGAAUGGCGUAACGACUUCUCGACUGUCUCAACCAUAGGCCCGGUGAAAUUGCACUACGAGUAAAGAUGCUCGUUUCGCGCAGCAGGACGGAAAGACCCCGGGACCUUUACUAUAGCUUGAUAUUGGUGUUUGGUUCGGCUUGUGUAGGAUAGGUGGGAGACUGUGAAGCCGUGACGCCAGUCAUGGUGGAGUCGUUGUUGAAAUACCACUCUGGUCGUGCUGGAUGUCUAACCUGGGUCCGUGAUCCGGAUCAGGGACAGUGUCUGGUGGGUAGUUUAACUGGGGCGGUUGCCUCCUAAAGGGUAACGGAGGCGCCCAAAGGUUCCCUCAGCCUGGUUGGCAAUCAGGUGUUGAGUGUAAGUGCACAAGGGAGCUUGACUGUGAGACUGACGGGUCGAGCAGGUACGAAAGUAGGGACUAGUGAUCCGGCGGUGGCUUGUGGAAGCGCCGUCGCUCAACGGAUAAAAGGUACCCCGGGGAUAACAGGCUGAUCUUCCCCAAGAGUCCAUAUCGACGGGAUGGUUUGGCACCUCGAUGUCGGCUCGUCGCAUCCUGGGGCUGGAGUCGGUCCCAAGGGUUGGGCUGUUCGCCCAUUAAAGCGGUACGCGAGCUGGGUUUAGAACGUCGUGAGACAGUUCGGUCCCUAUCCGCUGUGCGCGUAGGAGUCUUGAGAAGGGCUGUCCCUAGUACGAGAGGACCGGGACGGACGAACCUCUGGUGUGCCAGUUGUUCUGCCAAGGGCAUGGCUGGUUGGCUACGUUCGGAAAGGAUAACCGCUGAAAGCAUCUAAGCGGGAAGCCUGCUUCGAGAUGAGGGCUCCCUCCCACUUGAUGGGGUAAGGCUCCCAGUAGACGACUGGGUUGAUAGGCCAGAUAUGGAAGACCGGUAACGGUUGGAGUUGACUGGUACUAAUAGGCCGAGGGCUUGUCCUC
rnacentral:ncRNA from 2 species